GGAAUAAAACCUGACCACACUCUGUAAUUUGGAAGUAGGUCUGACCAAAAUCUGACAUUCUAUCAUAUUCUGCACAGUUUGGAAUUACCGCAGAUAUAUUCCCCCUUUCUGUAUCUCUCUCUCAAUUUAUCUUGUAUGUCUCCCCUCAUUCCCUUCUAACUCCCCCUUAGAGCUCCAUACCCUUGCUCUCUCUCUCUUACUGACUCAUUUCCCCCUGGGUAGGGCUGUGUAAACCCAUCUCCCUGUUUUCAGGAAAUGUGCUGCAUCCUUCUACAGAACUCUACUUCAUGCCGCCGCCUGUGUCUUCUAUGUGCUUUACAGCACGAAAAUCUUAAUUCACCGAUGAAGAAAAGAUACUGAUACUGACUUCUAGAUCUUCAGUGGUGAAUUCAUGGCGAUGGAGCUACAUGUACAGCAGGCUGGAAUCAUCAAAGGUGCGCAUUUCUAAAUUUCAGAACGGCGGUGCAGGGUUUUCAACGAUGAGAAUUGAUCUCUGAAGACACUAGCUAGCAUCCCAUUCAUGCUGCCCUGUAUGCACUUUCUCUAUUCCUUGGGAGCAUUUUUAUUAUCCUGUUUCAGACACAAAAGCAUUUAACCACUCAAAGAAAUCUUGUCUCUAUAGUCUGCUGUGCAAACCCUUCACUCAAGUUAAGGGUCCGAAUGUGCAGCCUACUCAUGCCUUGUGUACUGAAGGCCCUGACUUGAAACAGCAAGUUUUGUAUUUGCUAGUCUUUGCGUGGAGAUACACUUGUUGAUCAAAGUUUCAAUCAGGGUCUGUGCCUGCAGACUAGUCUCUAUACUAUACUAGAGUAACAGACAAAAUAGUCAUGUACAGACAUUCCAAUCACUCCAAAACAGGAAGCAGUGAAGCAUAUUUUUAAAAUCUUGUCAAGUUCAUGCCUCUUUUUGCCCACGCUCUUACCAUUCAUGCUGUUUUAUGAUCGUCACACGUACAGAUGAAUACACAGACCAUGAUAUAUCAUGAAAAUGUUCAUAACAAUGCAAAAUUCCUUGCUACGCCGCCGUAUGACACUGUUAAAGCCUAUCUUUAGUUUUGGUAAAUCCCACCAAAAGUGCAUGUGUGUUUUAUUGGAAAAAUUAACCAAUUUUACAUCAGAUUUGAUUCGAUCAGUUGCCAGAUCAAAACAGAAUACUGUAUGCAUAUUUUUGUCUUGUUUAUAGAAAACACCAUCUCAAGCAUGGAAUAGGCUGAAAAUUUCAGGAUAUGAUAUUUGCCAGUAGCUCUCUGAUAUCCAGUUACUAAAGGGCACACACCACUAACUAUUUCCCCAUAGACUCAUGUGUUAAAAUUGAGAUUUGAAAAAAUCGCCAAAAAUAAGUCUUAGAAAUGACAUCAUCCACACCUUUAUCAUUUGGUAGUGUAUCCAAUAUCCUUCAAACGCUAAAGAUAUGAAAAGGUGUUUUUCAAUAUUUUUUCGCGCUACAGGGGCUCAUACCAAGACUACGUGCAAACUUGGUUGCAGUCACAGUGCUCACUGGGUUUCUUGGGCAACUAAUUAAGUUCCCAUAAAACCCAGCAUUGACAAAUUACUGCUCUCCCAUGGGACUGAACAGAUCCAGUAGUUAUCCCUCUUUAUGCCCAUAUGAAAAAAAUUGUUCAGAUAUGCACCGUUGAUUUUAUAUGAAUAUUUUUCCAACCAUUACGUCAUUUUAGGUACGGGUCUAAAGGGGAUUCCCGAAAUUGCCGGAUCCUAUUAGUGGUGUGCGUCCUUCAGAGGGUGCGAUUCUCACUGAACUUGGGAUUUUUUUUCUUUGGCACAACCUUAGGGUAUCAUAUGCAUAAUGUUAAAAAAAAAUAAAAAUUUGAGACCCCGUUCUCUUAUGAUCAGGGAGUAAACAUUGUCUCUCCAGGGUUAUAAUACAGACAGAAUACACAUAGUUGAAACAAUGCACCUGUAAGAAAAUUUUGUAAUGUUUAAGCCCAAUCCAUGUUCAUGAAUUGAAAUUUAAUGAUAAUCAUCACCUUUGAAAUGUUGUAAAUGUGUUUUAAUAGUACUUGAUUCAUUUUUCUAAGUCAUUAUCACUUGAAAUUAAUAUCACAAUUCAAGAGAAAAA